CCUAAAAAUACAUGAAAAAAAUCAAAGUUCAAGAGGAAGGUCAAAUUAUUAUCCUGAGGAUGUAGCAGCCAAAAGAGACCUGGAUAAAAUUAGAUUGAGGGGUACCCAUUAUUUUUCCUUGAAAUAAACCUCCGAAAUUCAAGCAAACUUACUGUUUUUGGCUGCCUGGGCACUGUUCCUGAGAUCUGUUAAGACCUUCUGACGGCACUUACUUUGAAGACAAGGGACUUGCUGAAAGCUUUCAGUAACUUUGGAGUUCUUAGGACAUGAGCCAAAUUACCUGAUUACCCAAAUUACCUGAUUCCUUAUUGUCUGGCCAAUAAAAGACAGCCUCCUCAGACUGCUGAUCACAUCCUCUUCAAACGGCACUUCCCACCAAGUCUCCAUAGGGCCCUACAUUUUAGCUCCACCUUGGUUAUAAGAGGGAAUUCCUACACAAAUAUUGCAUUUUCCACUUCUGCAUGUGCUACUCAUUCUC